UACGUAGGGAGCGAGCGUUGUUCGGAUUUACUGGGCGUAAAGGGCAGGUAGGCGGGCGUGUUAGUCGGUUGUGAAAUCCUCUGGCUCAACUAGAGAAUGGCAGCCGAAACUGCACGUCUUGAGUCCAGCAGAGGGAAUCGGAAUCCUAGGUGUAGCGGUGAAAUGCGUAGAUAUCUAGGAGAACACCAGUGGCGAAGGCGGAUUCCUGGGCUGGUACUGACGCUGAGCUGCGAAAGCGUGGGGAGCGAACAGG
rnacentral:rRNA from 1 species